UUACAUCACUAAGGGCCUGUACAUGGAAGGGAGACAUUGUCUCUCUGCAGCUACUGUCAUAACCGGUUUAGCAGGGGAGGCUCCUUCUGAGGCUGCAGCACAAGAGAGACAGCAUUGGGGAGCUUGACACUGAUCGUCAAGAAGAGAUGAAGAUGGCGAG